rnacentral:misc_RNA from 1 species
GGGGAAAAAAAUGAGGUUACAGUCAAUUACUCUUCUUACUAUACCAAAAUUGAAAAGCUGUAGUAAUUCAGAAAGUGCACAUGAAAAAAACCUUUCAAUACAAAAACAUUAGUGUGACAUCAGUUGUCUAUUAGAUCACACUUGAUCACAAAUCAAUUUGGAUUUGCAAUCCUGUUAAUAUCAUUAUAAUUUAUUAUUCACUCAAUAUUUUUUUAACCAAAAAGACAACCACCAAAAGUAUUUAAAAAAAAA